AUACGGAGGGUGCGAGCGUUAAUCGGAAUUACUGGGCGUAAAGCGCGCGUAGGCGGUUAGAUAAGUCUGAUGUGAAAGCCCUGGGCUUAACCUGGGAAUGGCAUUGGAUACUGUUUAACUUGAGUGCGGGAGAGGAGAGUGGAAUUCUCGGUGUAGCGGUGAAAUGCGUAGAUAUCGGGAGGAACACCAGUGGCGAAGGCGGCUCUCUGGUCCGGUACUGACGCUGAGGCGCGAAAGCGUGGGGAGCAAACAGGAUUAGAUACCCGAGUAGUCC
rnacentral:rRNA from 1 species